rnacentral:rRNA from 1 species
AGUGAACGCUGGCGGUAGGCCUAACACAUGCCAGUCGAACGGCAGCACAGUAAGAGCUUGCUCUUACGGGUGGCGAGUGGCGGACGGGUGAGGAAUACAUCGGAAUCUACUUUUUCUUGGGGGAUAACGUAGGGAAACUUACGCUAAUACCGCAUACGACCUACGGGUGAAAGCAGGGGAUCUUCGUACCUUGCGCGAUUGAAUGAGCCGAUGUCGGAUUAGCUAGUUGGCGGGGUAAAGGCCCACCAAGGCGACGAUCCGUAGCUGGUCUGAGAGGAUGAUCAGCCACACUGGAACUGAGACACGGUCCAGACUCCUACGGGAGGCAGCAGUGGGGAAUAUUGGACAAUGGGCGCAAGCCUGAUCCAGCCAUACCGCGUGGGUGAAGAGGGCCUUCGGGUUGUAAAGCCCUUUUGUUGGGAAAGAAAAGCAGCAGGUUAAUACCCCGCUGUUCUGACGGUACCCAAAGAAUAAGCACCGGCUAACUUCGUG